UGGGGAAUAUUGCACAAUGGGCGCAAGCCUGAUGCAGCCAUGUCGCGUGUAUGAAGAAGGCCUUCGGGUUGUAAAGUACUUUCAGCGAGGAGGAAGGCGUUGUGGUUAAUAACCGCAGCGAUUGACGUUACUCGCAGAAGAAGCACCGGCUAACUCCGUGCCAGCAGCCGCGGUAAUACGGAGGGGGCAAGCGUUAAUCGGAAUUACUGGGUGUAAAGCGCACGCAGGCGGUCUGUCAAGUCGGAUGUGAAAUCCCCGGGCUCAACCUGGGAACUGCAUCCGAAACUGGCAGGCUAGAGUCUUGUAGAGGGGGGUAGAAUUCCAGGUGUAGCGGUGAAAUGCGUAGAGAUCUGGAGGAAUACCGGUGGCGAAGGCGGCCCCCUGGACAAAGACUGACGCUCAGGUGCGAAAGCGUGGGGAGCAAACA
rnacentral:rRNA from 1 species